GGGGCUGUGGUUUAGGGGUAUAACGUCUUUUUCGCAUGGUAGCUGGCUACCCAUGGUCUAGAGAAGGUCUUGGGUUCGAUUCCCAACUGCUCCA
rnacentral:tRNA from 1 species